ensembl:lncRNA
UUCAUUACUGGGUGCAGCUCUUCCCAGGCGUGAGAGAGCCUAACUGCAUUCUCCUAUCGCAAAGCCCUCGCUCUCAGCAACAUGAGAAUGCCAAUGAAGAUCACACUGAAAGAUCCUGCUGGAGCCAAAUUAAUGAUCUUUAGGCUACAGUUCAUAGUAGCAAAAAUAUAAACCUUGUUUAUAUAUGAAGGAUGAGGCAGAGAUAAUGAAAGCGAGAAAAUAAAUUGAACUGAGAGGAAGGAGGUUAAAAGAGGAGAGGAAUUACGGAAGAGUGGAUGAGAGCAGAGCAGACAGGAAUUCAAGGGAACGGGCAAUACAAAAGUGAGAGAGCACAUACCAGUAUAAGAAUUGUCAUACCACAUCUGAGCCACUGCCCUUGAUGCUCAACAUCUUGUUUCUGCUAGAAACGAGGACUAAAAAAUGCUUCAGAGCAUGGAGCAAGAAAACUGUCCAGUGAAAAUCUAUGGUGUAAUGAGACCAUCAAGGAAGUUUUCCUCCAGCUGAGAUUAUUUGAAGCCCUGAUCCUCUGAGUUCCACCACUACGCCAUGUCUCUUAGUGCCAUGUCCACACUUCUCUUAAAUCUCUCCAGAGAUUGUCACCCUUCCAUCUCCCAGGGUAGUCCCUUCCAGUACCUGACCACCCUCUCCAUAAAGAAAUUCCUCCUGAUAUCCAAUCUAAAUCUCCUCUCAUGAAACUUGAGACCACUGAAGCAUAGAGAGCUACCAAGCAACUCCACUAAAACUCCUCUCCAGCGAAGGGGCAAAGAGUGGUAAUUGUCCCAGCACUACACCUCUUCUGAUAGUAAAACAGAUGGUGCUCUCCAUGCUUGCUCAGCCAGCACUGCUCGUGGACCUAAAGUAGGAUGAACAAAACCAAGAGGGAAUCUAGGAAUGCCAUUAUCCAAGGAUUUUACUUCAGUAAUUCAAGACAACACAAAACCCAGAAAUCCCUCAGAGUAACCCCUUUUAUUCCUUCAGGUGAGCUCUUCUCAUGAUGACUCUAGUAUCCAGAUGUUAAGUAGAAGUGACAGCCAGAUCAGGUCCUGUGCACCUGUGCAUGACAGAUAUUUCUUCAGGAGGAGGGAACCAGAGGAAAGAAGCUGCUGCCCAGCAUUCACCAUGAGUGCAGAAGAGGGGUCAUAUAUGAAUGUUUUAUCUCCUUUCAGGACAGUGAAUCAUCAUAUCAGAAAUGUCUGAUGUGUCACUUGUGUCAGCCUGUUGUCCAGAAUAAGCUUGUAUUGCUCAUGGUUGUUACUUCUGUUGAGAUUUAAUACAGGAUCUACUAAUUCUGUGGUAUUGCCAUCCUUACUGUGGGCAUAGAUUUUUAUAUGUGCCUUGGACAAAAAAAUAUAAGAAAAUGCUUCCUAUACACCACCCAUAUGCCCCAGAGUGCUUCAGUUCGUGAGCCUUCACUUACUUACUUUGUAAUAGAAACUUCACUUUUAGGAGAGUAAAUGGAAUUCCAUCUUAGCGGGAAAUCCUAUUCCAGAAAACAUGCAAAUUUUUUUAUCUUCUGAGAAAUAAAACCCUUUCAAGACAUGACAAGGUGAAAAAGAGAGUAUCUGGCAAGAAUUCCCAUGCUGCCAUAGCAGAGUGACCCUUUACAAUGCUGAUUUAAAUGGCAUGCCUCUUUUCAUAUUGCAUUAGUGUUUCAACUUCUGCCUCUCCUUGAGUUUAGCUUCUGGGAUUUUGCAAUUUAUAGUCCAAUGUUCUGCUUUUUUUGCUUCUAGUCUCGUGUUGCUGGCUUUGCCCAAGCCUGUAAAACCAGAUGACCAUCUUGCUCUGACAAAUUUGCUCAGGGUCAGCAGGGUAAAAAGUCUGACAGGGGAGUUAUAAAAAAAGAAAUGCACAAAGACAUGGGCAGAAUUUCUCCUCAAACACAGCUAGGUCAGCUCCAGACUCACUCUUUGUUUAUGGCAUAGCUGCCACUGUUUGCGCUCUGGGGAGGGAGAGGGAAGAGAAGCAGUGCUGGAGGAAUUUGAAUAUGCAGUACAGAGAGCACACUUGUUUGCCGUGGCACCUGAUAGACCCCCUCAUCACGCAAAUGUCUGAGCGUAACAGAUUGCUUUUUCUCUGAGAUUCAGAUUGGAAAUGCUUGGCAGACAAAAUAAAGGAAUGAGUGUUUUCUAAAAAUAGUUGAUCUGUUUUUCCUAUGACAAACAAAGAUUUAUGCAGACCCAAAUUAAUAACAAUAUGUUUCACAUUUCCUGGUCUGACUGCUAUGUGUAUCUCAUCAAUUGAUAUCUUUAUGCAUAGGAUACAGAAAAUAAAACUUGCAAGAGUAGCAUUUUUCAGAGGAUGAAAAGAAGAGGACGGUGUUCCCAGAAAAUAAGGCUAUGCUUUGUGCAAGAGAGUGGGAGCACUGGGCAACAGGAAGAGGGAUGCUGUGUACCAACUGUCCACCCCCUAAAGUGAGAUGUGAACAUUUAUGUCUGCUUUGGGGCAAAGACUCAUGACAUAUUAGCCCCCUGUUAACUGGGAAAGAAAGGAUUAAGUAAUAGACCAACAAUCCUGUGAAGAUUUUCUAUGUGAUACUAAGCAUGUCAUUUAGGGACUUGUCUCAGCUGCCUUUAGCCAUGUACAAGUUAGAGAGCUUUUUAAAACUACUUAAAGGGUAAGAGAUGUGUGUAUCCAAGAAGCAAUCAGCUCGUAAUUUCAGGGUGAUCUGCCUUGCAGACAACCCAGCAACUGCAGCUCAGUGCCUGGUUAAACCUCUCUGUUGUCUGGCUGCACUGAGUGGGUAAGUGCCUGGUGCUCCAGACUCACGGUGUGCUUAUAUAGGGCUGAGUGCCUGAACCCCGGAUCUCCUGUGGGACUGCUAAGCCAUUCUGCAGGAAUAAGUGAAUAAUAGCAGCAGUUUAUUGCCUCGGGCAUAGCAAAUGUGGAGCUUUGUAGCAGGAGGUAUCCUGAUCCGGAGAACUGCAGUGUGAACAGGCUUCCUAACUAAGCAUCCUAUAUGGUUUUGUGUUUCGACUUCUGUAAUUUAUAAACCCACUGACAAUAAAACCAGGAAAGCUGGCUCCACUGAAUG